UUGAGGAAUAUUGGUCAAUGGGCGGAAGCCUGAACCAGCCAAGUAGCGUGCAGGAUGACGGCCCUAUGGGUUGUAAACUGCUUUUGAAGGGGAGUAAAGUGAGUGACUUGUCAUUCAUUGCAAGUACCCUUGGAAUAAGGACCGGCUAAUUCCGUGCCAGCAGCCGCGGUAAUACGGAAGGUCCGGGCGUUAUCCGGAUUUAUUGGGUUUAAAGGGAGCGUAGGCUGUCCGGCAAGCGUGCUGUGAAAUACAGUGGCCCAACCACUGGACUGCAGCGCGAACUGUCGGGCUUGAGGGCGCACGACACAGGCGGAAUUUGUGGUGUAGCGGUGAAAUGCUUAGAUAUCACGAAGAACCCCGAUUGCGAAGGCAGCUUGCGGGAGCGCGACUGACGCUGAAGCUCGAAAGUGCGGGUAUCAAACAGGAUUAGAAACCCUGGUAGUCC
rnacentral:rRNA from 1 species